rnacentral:rRNA from 1 species
AUUGAACGCUGGCGGCAGGCCUAACACAUGCAAGUCGAGCGGAUGAAGGGAGCUUGCUCCUGGCUUCAGCGGCGGACGGGUGAGUAAUGCCUAGGAAUCUGCCUGGUAGUGGGGGAUAACGUCAGUAAGGGGGGCCAAAUCCGAAACCGGACCAUAGGUGGAAGGGGGGGGUUCUAGGGCCCCACGCGGUUAGGCUGGCCCUAGGACGGAUUAGCUAGUUGGUGGGGUAAGGGCCUACCAAGGCGACGAUCCGUAACGGGGCUGAGAGGGUGACCGGCCACACUGGAACUGAGACACGGUCCAGACUCCUACGGGAGGCAGCAGUGGGGAAUAUUGCGCAAUGGGCGAAAGCCUGACCCAGCCACGCCGCGUGUGUGAAGAAGGUCUUCGGAUUGUAAAGCACUGUAAGUUGGGAGGAACGGCAGUAAGUUAAUCCCUGGCUGUUUUGACGUUACCAACAGAAUAAGCCCCGGCUAACUUCGUG